UACAGAGGGUGCAAGCGUUACUCGGAAUUACUGGGCGUAAAGCGUGCGUAGACGGUUGCGUAAGUCAGAUGUGAAAGCCCCGGGCUCAACCUGGGAAUUGCAUUUGAGACUGCGUAGCUAGGGUGCGGAAGAGGGAAGCGGAAUUUCCGGUGUAGCGGUGAAAUGCGUAGAUAUCGGAAGGAACACCAGUGGCGAAAGCGGCUUCCUGGUCCAGCACCGACGUUCAGGCACGAAAGCGUGGGAAGCAAACAGG
rnacentral:rRNA from 1 species